rnacentral:lncRNA from 1 species
CAAAUAUUAAUGAUUGUUUAAUUUAGGUGGUGAACUUAUAUAAGCUAGCCAGAAUAGUCGAAUUCAUAAAGACAGAAAGCAGAGAGGUGGUUCCAAGGGGCUGGGGGAGGGGCUGGGGAGUCAGCGUUUGAUGGGGACAGAGUUCCAGUGUAGGAUGGUGAAAAAGGUCUGGAGAUAGGGGGUGGCGAUGGCGACGCAACAUUGUGAGUGUACUUAAUGCCACUGAACUGUACACUUAAAAGUGGUGAAAGCGGUAAAUUUUAUGUUUUAUUUGCUUUACUACAAUGAAAAACAUUUAGGCGGUGGAUGUUCGUUACACUGAUACUAUUCUUUCUACUUUUCUGUCUGUUUGCAUCUUCUCCUAGAGAGUCAUUUUUUAAGACUGAACACCCCUCUGGUCUACACGUCACCUGGUCCUUUCUCUCCUCCUAGUUAUACCGCACGUCUUUCAAACAGCCAACAGCAGGUCAAAGCAUUUUUUUUAAAUCCUCCCUUUUUACCUAAAAGUAAACCUCAAAAACUAAUCUCUUUCUGGACCUCCAGAGUCUAGCUUAGAGCAGAACAGAGAAGGUCGGUUCUAGAAAGAGCCAGCGCCUGAUGGAACAAGAUAAAGGGACUCAGAGCUGGAGUCCUGAGCAGCCACGCCCUGUUCUGAGUGCUCGCCACAGCUGGGCACAGCUCUAAGGCAGCUCUUCAGACACUGUGAGGUCAGCAUCGUCAUCUACUCUUACAGCUAGGGAAACAGCCUCAGAGAGGUGAAGUAACUUGCCCAAAGCAGCUCAGCUGAUGGACAAGAGACUUUAAGCAGGCCUCUCAGGAAGCAGAGCCUGAGUUAACCAGCCCCAGGAGCUUUUCUGCCUCCUUUCCUAAAAAGACUGUGGGGCUAUAAUCGCCAAACAUAUCAGCCCACCCCCCAAGAUGGCCUGGGUUCCCCAGGGUUCAAGGCUAGUUGGUCAAUUUAAUUAAUUACUUACUUACUUAAUUAAUUAUUGUUAUUGUGAUAACAUUGGGUAGCAUUAUAUAAAUUUCGGGUGUACAUCAUAUUUUGAUUUCUGUGUAGAUUACAUCAUGUUCACCACCCAGUGACUAAUCACAAUCCAUCACCACACACAUGAGCCUAAUCACCCCUUUCACCUUCCUCCCUCUCCCCUUCCCCUCUGGUAACCACCAAUCCAAUCUCUGUCUCUGUGAGAUUGUUCUUUGUUGUUUUUAUCUUCUUUUUAUGAGUGAGAUCAUAUGGUAUUUGACUUUCUCCCUCUGACUUAUUUCACUUAGCAUAAUAUCCUCAGGGUCCAUCCAUGUUGUCACAAAUGGCUGGAUUUCAUCGUUUCUUACGGCUGAGUAGUAUUCCGUUGUGUAUAUAUACCACAUCUUCUAUAUCCAUUUGUCCCCUGAUGGGCACCUAGGUUACUUCCAAGUCUUGGCUAUUGUGCAUAAUGCUGCGCUGAACAUAGGGGUGCAUGUAUCUUUAUGCAUUUGUGUUUUCAAGUUCUUUGGAUAAAUACCCAGCAGUGGAAUAGCUGGAUCAUAUGGUAGAUCUAUUCUCAAUUUUUUGAGGAAUCUCCACACUGUUUUCCAUAGUGUUUGCGCUCCCGCCAGCAGUGCAUGAUGGUUCCCUUCUCUCCACAUACUCUCCAACACUUAUUGUUUCCUGUCUUGUUAAUUAUACCAUUCUGACGGGAGUGAGGUGGUAUCUCAUUGUAGUUUUCAUGGUUGGUCAAUUUAAAAGCACUGACCACUACUUAUCAUAAAGAGGCAGAAAGCUGGUCUCUGCCCUAAAGGCACUUACAAUCCAUUUGUGAAGACAACGCUAAGAAAAGUGAGAAAACUAGGAGGAACAUACUAGACAGUGCUGGUGUAAGUGCUGGUGUGGGGUCGUAUCUUUUGCCCUCAGUUCCUCCUGCUCCGGUGCCCAUCGUGCUGCGCUGUGAUGACGUAUUCAGAGAGGGCUCUCUGCCUCUGCAGUGUAGUGACCACGGCUCCUUCAGGGUCCUGUCUUAUUCAUACACUUCACAUGGACAAUGCUGCCCGGCACAGAGGGGGUGUGGGUGAUACUGAAUGCCCGUGGAGAAAGAGUGACUAGGCGCGCAGAGCAGAUCACCCCAAUUCCCCACCUUCUCUGCUCGGGUUGGGUCCUGGGAACCAAUCAGACCACUGUCCUCUCCUCUCUGCCACACCCCAGUCAUUCCAGAAUCCCUCCAGGUGGCCUGGGUUCCCUUGGCCUCCUCCCCAGCGGGGGGAGGGUGUGCUGUCCCUUCUGACAGAGCCUCGCACGCAGAUGCUAAGGGCUCUGCUGGAAUCUGCCCCGGCCAAAGGCCACCUCAAGUCCAGAGCCCUGCCUGGCUGUUCUGUCCUUAGGCAGGUGGGUUCCUUGUCGGUGCUAAUCCCUGUUUUCCCCAACCCUGGCUUCUAGGUCAUCCCGUUUUCUCCAUGAGUGAUGGGGGCUCACGAGGCAGAUGGGAUCCGCUGCCUCCAAUCCCUCAGGAUAAAGCCUCUGUGUGCACAGUGGGGCUGCUAAGACUAUUUCCUGGGUCAGGACUGCUCCCUCCGCAAGUCCUCUGGGCUCUGGCAGAACAAGAGCACGAUACACAGCUGGGCCACAGUUUCUUGGUGCUCAGGCCCCAAGGACGUGGGGUUCCCCAAGUGUCCCUAGUAGGCAGACCUGGUGCAACUGUCCUUUUGACUGAGGGGGUAACCGGGCAAACUGGCAUCUUAGCGGCAGCAGCCGCUCCCAAGGAAGCAUCUCUUCCCCAGCAUCCGUACCUCUGUGAGCUGGGAUUCCACCUUCAACAUGGGCAGGCUGCUCUGUGCCGCAUUGUCCUCCUCCCUCCCCGGGAUGGUGCUGAAAAUGCAUGAUUUCCAGGCUACCACGUGGCUGUAAUGACUCCAAAGUUUUCUUCACCGCGUGUAUUGACACAGUUUUUAGAUCCUACGCCAUGCACAUGCUGCCAAGUACAUUCUUGCCUUCCAAAGCCUUUUUUCAUUUUGGUCAAUCAGGUCAAAAUUAUUAGCAUCACAGGCAAAAUUUGAAGGCUGAAAAAAAAAUUUGGAAAAGCACAAAACUGGAAUUCUGUCUUUGUUUUUAAAGCUAUCCUCCAGCUUUUUGGAAUGCAUACUCUAAUUUUAG